AAAAAAAAAAAGAAAAUUUAAAGCACCAUACAAAUAGAGUUGGAGACUAUUAAGUUUCAAGUCUUCUCAUAAAUUGACCAUCACACACCUAUCUAAACAUAUUCCUAUCACUCUUCUCAUGGGCAUACUCUGUUCCAGGUAAACUAAACUCCCUGUGCUAGCAUGUUGUGCUCAUCCCUGUCUUCAUUACCUCUGUUCAUCCUGUCUGUUCACUUCGCCCGUUUAAAUCCUAUCCAACUGCCCAGCUAAACUUUUCAUCCCCUGCCACGACUCCUGCUCUGACCUCUUGCUGCAAGUAUCAUCAAGCCAUACCUCGUGGGUUAGUUUAUAGCCAGAUUACCAGACCUUGGAAGGUAGUCCUCCAUUAGGGAUUUCCAGAGCACCUACCACAACAGUGAGGACACGAUAGGUAUGCAGUAAAUAUUUGCCAAUGGGUAGGUUUUUGUAUCACUCUGUCUCUUUCCUCUGAAUGCUUAUGACAUGGUUUUGUUAGCUUGAGAAGCCAAAGGAAACAAAUUAAAGUCACAUUUGCUCCAGCGGGGUCCCUUAGGAUGUUGCGUAUCAAAGUCUUUUUCAGACGCAAAACCAGUUGCCUUUGGAGGUUGGAAGUUCUUGUCCACCCAGAGGCAACUUGGAAGAAAGGCCUGGUGACCUGCUUUCAAAAUAUUUGCUACCGAAAACCCUAUGGAGCACAGCUCUACUCUGAUACACAUGAGGUUGUCAUGAGUUGGAAUCGACUAGACAGCAACUAAUUUACUGGUUUCAUAGCAUGAAUUAUUACCUGGGUGGAAAAAGUGAAGACUCUUCCCAUUUCAGAAUUAUGAAACAGAUGUUGGUGUCCAAUAACAGCUGCUUAUGUGUCAAGUUUAUGUAUAUCCCUGAAUGGUCAUGGCUGUCCAUUCUUAACGUUACCCUAGUAACUCUGUUCUGAAGCAAGUGGUGAAAACAGUUUGUGCUAGACUACUAAAGGUUGCCAGUUUGAACACACCCAUCAGUACCUCAGAAGAAAAGACCUGGCAAUCUCCUUCUGUUAAGAUUACAGCCAAGAAAACCCUAUGGAGAAGUUCUGCUCUGUAGCACAUGGAGUCUCAAUGAGUUGGAAUUGACCUGAUGGCAACUAACAACAACAACAUGAGGAGUCUGUUCCUGAGGCACCAAAAAUCUGCUCUAAGAAUUCCAGUUAGUGGGCUGAGGGCUUGGGACCAUGGCCUCAGGGGACAUCUAGCUCAAUUGGCAUAAUAUAGUUUAUAAGGAAAAUGUUUUCUAUAUCCUACUUUGGUGAGUAGUGUCUGACAUCUUAAAAGCAUGUGAGUGGCCAUCUAAGAUACGUUUACUGGUCCCAUCUCGUCUGGAGGAAGGGAGAACGAAGAAAACCAAAGACACGUGAGAAAUAUUAGUCCAAAGGACUAAUGGACCACAACUACCACAGCCUCUACCAACCUGAAUCCAGCACAACUAGAUGGUGCCUGGCUACCCCCACUGACUGUUCUGACAAUCAUCACAAUAGAGGGUCCCAGACAGAGCUGGAGAAAAAUGUAGAUGAAAAUUCUAACUCACAGAAAAAGACCAGACCUACUGGUCUGACAGAGACUGGAGGAACCCCAAGAGUAUGGCCCCCAGGUACCCUUUUAACUCAGCACUGAAGUCACUCCUGAGGUUCACCCUUCAGCCAAAGAUUAGACAGGUCCAUAAAACAAACAAUAGUACAAGUGGCUCAACCAUGUAUAUGAGACUAAAUGGGCGCACCAGCCCAGGAUCAAGGACAAGAAGGCAGGAGGGGACAGGAAAGAUGGAUGAGUGGAAACGGAGAACCCAAGGUCAGGAAGAAGAGAGUGGUGACAUGUCUUGGGGUUGGCAACCAAUGUCACAAAACAAAGUGUAUAUUAAUUGUUUAAUGAGAAACUAAUUUGCUCUGUAAACCUUCACCUAAAGCACACACACACACACAAAAUUCCAGUUAGGUCUUUGCUAUUAUUCAUCUUUCUGAUACUGAGGAAAGGGGAAUGUGGAGGGGCUGGUUGGUGGUUGUUUACACUGACAAUUUCUCUCUUCAUCAUAGAACAAUCAAAACAUUGUUUUAUGUCUAAAUUCAGAGUGGCAUAGUGAUUAAGAGUUCAGCUGCUUACCAAAAGGUCGGCAGCUCACAUCUACCAGGAGCUCCCUGGAAACCCUAUGGGGCAGUUCUACUCUGUCCUAUACAGUCACUAUGAGUUGGAGUCGACUCAAUGGCAAUGGGUUUGGUUUUUUUGGGUUUUUUUAAUAAGCAUAUUGGGAAUGGGGGUAUGGUAAGAGAACAGGAAGAUGAAUGAUUUCCUACAGCAAUGAAUAGAUUUAAGUAAUCAUUUUUUAAUCAUUCUUUGAUUAAAUCUUUCAAUGGCUACCCUACCUUUCUGUCUUAAGAAGAUUGUUCUUCUUGGAGGUGAAUGCUACUUUUCAGGAGGAAGGGAAGUAAUAAUUUUCAUGUAAAAAUGGUUUGUAAUUUUCAUAGGCCUUAAAGUGGGGUGAGAGCUCAUAGGUAAGGUCAGGUAAAAGUAAAGAAGAGUUCUUGUUUCUAGAGAAGAAAGGAUUGCUUUAGAGCUGUUCUCAGUGAAAUGAAUGACAUUGAAGAGAAAAUUACUUCUGCAAAACAAUUCCCAAACUAUUCCUUAAUAAAUCCAUGAAGAUAUGUUGCAAAUUGCUUGUGACCAUAAAUUUAUAAGAACAAACUUAAAAGGAAACAAAAAACAAUUUGAACUUAAUAGUACUAAGUUAACACCAAAACCAAAAAAACCCAGUGCCAUGGAGUCGAUUCUGACUCACAGCAACCCUAUAGGACAGAGUAGAACUGCUGCAUAGAGUUUCCAAGGAGCGCCUGGUAGAUUCGAACUGCUGGUUUCUUGGUUAACAGCCCUAUCACUUAACGACUACACCACCAGGGUUUCCCAGGUUAAUACCCAAAAUGGGUUAUUAUUCAAGAAUUUCGCAUAAAAUCAAUGAAGUCAUACUUGAAAUUACCACUAGAGGGCAGAAAAUAGGGAAAAAAAGGUCCUUAACAGUAGUUAGUGGGUUUCUGGAAUCAGAAAUUUCAAGGUCCUGGAACCUCUGGAAACAACCAUGACAAGAAUAGUUGUUAACAUUUAUGAGGUACCUACUAUGAGUCAGACACAGUUCUAAGAACUUUAUAAAUAUUAACUCAUUUAAUUUCACAACAACUCUACGAGGUAAAUACUAUCAGUGUCUCUAUUGUAUAGAUGAGGAAACUGAGGUUAAAUGAUUAGUACAAAAUUAUUCAGUAGGUAAAUGGUAGCACAGGAUUCAAAUCCAGAUGAUUAGAAUUUCAAGUCUGCACUGUACUUCUCCCAUGAUGACAACUUUUUUUAUAAAUGUGUGUACUUUAUUACAAACAACAGUGUAUAGAAUCACUUUCUGAGCUAUGAGAGAGAACAAGAUGUUUCUUUUGGCAUGAUUUGGUGAUAAAUUUCCUAACUUAAUUCUACUGCAUUGCUUGAUAAGCCAGGGAUUUCCCAGGUGGUUUCAUAAACACAUCUUGGGAAACAAACCUAAAAAUUUGUUUUUGUUCUUUCGAUGCUGCAAAUUAUCAUGUUUUCUGAAUAACUUGAACUAAUAAACAGAACCUACUGGUACCACUAUUAACAGUGUAAGGGAGAGGCUGAGCCCCAAAUGGAAGAGUAACUGCAUUGGCUUAGCAAACAGCAGUAACAUCAGGGCACUGCUGGAGUAAUUUGGUUGAGGCUGGAUGACACGGGGGCAGGAAGACAAGGUCCACAGCUUGUCCUCCAGCCACACCGGUGAUGAAGGAAUGGUGCAAACAAAAAGGGAAGGGUUGAAUCUUGAUUGUUUAACCAGAGGCUGUCUGCAUUGCCCCCAUUUCUAUAUUCACCAGGUGGGGCACAAACUAGGGCCUGGAUUUGAAUUCCUCCCCCUGAGCACAUAUUACUUAGCAAGGUAGCUAAUGCCCCUAUAGCACUGCACAGGAAAAUAAUGAGGAGAUGAAGAAUAGUGCCAGUGUUAUAAAGGAAAGGCAACAAACCAAAACCUACAGUCAGUGGGAUUAAUGGACCAGACAGAAUAAGAAUUUGAAAUAUGCAUGGUCAAUAUUUUCAAGGAGAUGCUAUCUUAUUUUCAAUCAAAAUUCAAGCAGGCUCUUUUAAGGAGCCUUUUACAGAACUUAGCAACUGAAUUUAGAAUAUAUACGGAAGAAUAAAGGUCUGUGAAUACUUUACUCAUUUUAUUUAAAGAACAGCAAAAAAUGGGGACACAUUCUGUAUGUAAGACAUCAGACAUAGCACAAAGCCAUAUUAAUAAUGAAACUAAUGUGGUAUUCAUUACAAACAGAAAGACUAAGGAACAUAGUGGUAAUCUCAGAAAUACACACUCAAUACAUAUACCCAGUGCAUAUACACAUAUGCAUUUGAAACAUGCUAAAAUUGACAUAUAAAUAAGUGGGGAAAAGAUAGAUUGUUUAGUAGAGGGCACUGGGAAACUGAUAUGAAAAAAUUAAGUUGGAUCCAUACCUUAUAUCAUAAAUAAAGACAUACCGGAUGUAUAAAAGAUCAAAGUGAAAAGUAAAAUGUAAAAACAAACAAAAAUUCAGGAGAAUACAUUUGCUACCUUGAAGAAAUAGAAAGUUUUCUAGAAUAUAAGAGGACAAACCAUUAAAAGAGAUACAGAGGUGGGGUGGGGGGAGCGAGACAGAGAGAGAGAAAUAAAGGAAGCAUUUAAUUAUGUUAAAAUUAAAGAUUUUUCUUCAUGAAGAAAACUCAGAGAUAAAAUUAAUAAAUGAUUGACAAACUCGGAGAAGAUAUUUGCAAUGUGUGGGACAAACAAGGGGUUGGCAUCUAGAAUACGCAAGGACUUCCUGAAAGUCAAUGUGAAAAGACAAGAAAUUCAGUAAAAAAAAAAAAAAAAAAAGACCAAAGAAGAAUAA